rnacentral:rRNA from 1 species
UUUGAAAAUUAUAAAAGGUAACGCCUGCCCAGUGACAUUGUUUAACGGCCGCGGUAUUCUGACCGUGCGAAGGUAGCGUAAUCACUUGUCUUUUAAAUAAAGACUUGUAUGAAUGGCAUCACGAAGACUUAACUGUCUCCUUAGUCCUAUCAGUGAAACUGAUCUUUCCGUACAAAAGCGGAAAUAAAACCAUAAGACGAGAAGACCCUAUGGAGCUUAAAACUAAAAUCUAGCUAUAUCAUCUGUUAAAAUUUAUUAAUACUAUAUCUUUAUAGACUUAGCCAAAGUUUUCAGUUGGGGUGACUGUGGAGAAAAACUAAUCCUCCAUGUAGAUUUAAGCCUUGAGCUACCACUCUCAGCAUUAACAAGUUUAACUUUACUUGAUCCAAUAAUUUUGAUCAACGGACCA